GACGAACGCUGGCGGCGUGAUUAACACAUGCAAGUGGAGCGACGAACCAGGGCUUGCCCUGGGGCAGAGCCGCGAACGGGUGAGUAACACGUGGGUUACCUGCCUCGAUGACCGGGACAACCCGAGGAAACUCGGGCUAAUACCGGAUGUGCCCGCAAGGGGAAAGGAAGCUUCGGCAUCCGCAUCGAGAUGGGCCCGCGGCCCAUUAGCUUGUUGGAGAGGUAAAGGAUCACCAAGGCUUCGAUGGGUAGCUGGUCUGAGAGGCCGGUCAGCCACACUUGGACUGAGACACGGCCCAGACUCCUACGGGAGGCUGCAGUGGGGAAGCUUGCGCAAUGCACGAAAGCGUGACGCAGCAACGCCGCGUGGGGGAAGAAGGCUUUCGGGUUGUAAACCCCUUUCAGUUGGGACGAAGCUUCGGCGGUUAAUAGCCGUUCGGAGUGACGGUACCUUCACAAGAAGCACCGGCUAACUACGUGCCAGCCGCCGCAGUAAGAC
rnacentral:rRNA from 1 species